AUUCAAAUAUGCUGCACAUAUACUAAAAUUGGAUCGAUACAGAGAAGAUUAGCAUGACCUUUGCGAAAGGAUGUCACGUAAAUCCGUGAAGCGCUCUGUUUUUUA
ensembl:snRNA U6 U6 spliceosomal RNA